GGACCCGUGGCGCACUGGCAGCGCGUUUCUAUCUCUGGAAAGGUGGCGUGUUCGAUUCACGCCGGAGUCA